UACAGAGGGCGCGAGCGUUUGUCCGGAAUCACUGGGCGUAAAGGGUGCGUAGGCGGCUUUUUAAGUUUGGUGUGAAAUCUCCUGCUUAACCGGGAGGGUGCGCCGAAUACUGAGAAGCUAGAGUACGGGAGAGGAAAGUGGAAUUCCUGGUGUAGCGGUGAAAUGCGUAGAUAUCAGGAGGAACACCUGUGGUGUAGACGGCUUUCUGGACCGUAACUGACGCUGAGGCACGAAAGCGUGGGUAGCAAACAGGA
rnacentral:rRNA from 1 species